UACUGCGGGGGCGGGUGGAAAAGGACGUGGGGGAGGGGUGGGGAAGGGCGGGGCAGAGCUAGAGCCCCGCCCCCGGGGAGGGCCGAGCCCGCGCGGCCGCUGCUCCCCUCCCCCCGCCUCCCGCGGCGACCCCCGCGGGGCGUGAGGUCCCAGCCCCACCCCGUUGGAGCCCCUCCUCCGCGUCCGCUCCGCCGGUCCCCAGCCGAAAUCGAGCUGGGAGGAAAGAGCCCUGAGCGCUGCUUUGCACCCCUUCUUGCGGGGCUCAGACUCUCUGUGUGGUGUAGGUUUAUUGCCUUGGCCUCAGGCAGGUGGCGGCCGCUCCUCUCCGCUUUACCCAAGACGGGGAAAGUGACGCUGCGUCCCUCAAAGUCAUUGAGAAUGCCGCGCGGGAUGCAGGUCUCUGGAAGAGAAGUUUCGUUCCCACGGUGGCAGUUGGAAUUUCCACGCAUGACGGGGGAGGGAGGGGGGCCCUGAGGCUGGAGAGAGACCCGCGGAAUGGCGCUUCCCGAAGUCCUUUCCCCGCUGCAGCGUCCCGAGAGAGUCCUUGGCCGUGCCCGGUGAAGCUGCCUCGGCCGGGAUGUCGGGAUGGGGACUCCAAAUGGAGAAAUGGCUUGUUUUAAGUCCUCUCCUGCCUCCUAAGUGUAGGCUCCUUAUCUACACGGAUGCAUGCAAAGUCCUUUCGCCUUCGUGCAAAUUUUGCAAACUAUUUUUGACAAACGUUUGGAAGUUAUUAGAGUGAGGAAGAAUAGCAACUAGUUACUCAGUAAGAAGCAAGUGGUUUAAAACAACAUUUUUUAUCUCCUGACAAAAAAUAAAAAUAAAUGGCGAAUGAUUUCACAGAUUCCAUGGCAGGUCAAAAUUAGAAUGGAUUCAGAAUAACCAAUAUAUGAUAGAGUUGCAAAAAAAUAUUUGAUGAAUGACUGAAAUAAAUCAUGGCUCCCUCACUUUCUUCCACUCCGUCCUCAGAGAGAGAGAGAGAGAGUGCUCGAAAGAGCACACAGAGAAACGGCAGAGGGAGAAGGAGAAGCAGACUCCCCGCUGAGUAAGGAGCCUGAUGUGGGGCUCCAUCCCAGGACGCCAGGAUCAUGACCUGAGCUGAAGACAGACACUUAACCAAUUGAGCCACGCAAGCACCCUCACCUUCUCUUUUUAUUGUGUCUGUAUGAGAUUAUGGAUGCUAACUGAGUUUAUUGCAGUAAUCAUUUCACAAUAUAUGUAAGCCGAACCCCCUUCUGCUGUACACCUUAAAUUUAUAUAGUAAUGUAUGUUAAUUGUAUCUUAAUAAAACUGGAGAAAAAUUAAUCAAUGGAUAUAAAGAAACUGAAU